rnacentral:rRNA from 1 species
AGCGAACGCUGGCGGCGUGCUUAACACAUGCAAGUCGAGCGAGAAAGGGGGCUUCGGCCCCUGAGUACAGCGGCGAACGGGUGAGUAAUACAUGAGCAAUCUAUCCUUGAGGCGGGAAUAACCCAGCGAAAGUUGGGCUAAUACCGGAUGAGACCACAGGAGGAAACUCCAAGGGUCAAAGGCAGCUUUCUUUUGGGAGCGGCCCUUCGAAGAGGAGCUCAUGUCCUANCAGCUAGUUGGUAGGGUAACGGCCUACCAAGGCGAAGACGGGUAGCUGGGUCUUAGAGGAUGAUCAGCCACACGGGGACUGAGACACGGCCCCGACUCCUACGGGAGGCAGCAGUGGGGAAUAUUGGGCAAUGGGCGAAAGCCUGACCCAGCGACGCCGCGUGGGUGAUGAAGGCCUUC